ACCCCUGUGAGAAUGCCCUAAUAGUUGCCUGCCCGGAAACAAGGAGCUGGUAUCAGGCACAACAUUAUAGCCCACGACACCUUGCUUAGCCACACCCUCAAGGGAAUUCAGCAGUGAUAAACAUUAAGCCAUGAGUGAAAACUCGACUCAGUUAAAGUUAAGAGGGCCGGUAAAACUCGUGCCAGCCACCGCGGUUAGACGGGAGGCCCAAGUUGAUAGACGUCGGCGUAAAGCGUGGUUAAAAAAUAAAAACACUAAGACCGAAUGCUUAUCAGUACUGUUAAACGUAUUCUGAAAGUUAGAAGUUCAAUCACGAAAGUGGUCUUAAUCAAUAUUGAAUCCACGAAAGCUAUGACACAAACUGGGAUUAGAUACCCCACUAUGCUUAGCCGUAAAAAUUGAUAGCAUCUAUACAUCUACUAUCCGCCUGGGUAUUACGAGCAAUUAGCUUAAAACCCAAAGGACUUGGCGGCGCUUUAAACCCCCCUAGAGGAGCCUGUUCUGUAACCGAUAAUCCCCGUCUAACCUCACCUUUCCUUGCUUUAUUCCGUCUAUAUACCUCCGUCGCCAGUUUACCCUGUGAAGGUUAAGUAGUAAUCAAGAUUGGUAAGACCCAAAACGUCAGGUCAAGGUGUAGCUAAUGGAAAGGGAAGAUAAUGGGCUACAUUUCCUUGUAAAGGAAAUACGAAUGGUAUGCUGAAAUGCAUACUCUGAAGGUGGAUUUAGCAGUAAGUGGAAAAUAGAGAGUUCUGCUGAAGUAGGCCCUAAAGCGCGCACAUAUCGCCCGUCCCUCUCCCUGAAUUUACAUGAAUAUAAAUAUAAUACAUUAUUAUCAAGAGGGGAGACAAGUCGUAACAUGGUAAGUGUACCGGAAGGUGCACUUGGAAUAAU
rnacentral:ncRNA from 1 species